rnacentral:rRNA from 1 species
UACGUAGGGUGCAAGCGUUGUCCGGAAUUAUUGGGCGUAAAGCGCACGUAGGCGGCUUAGCAAGUUGGAUGUGAAAUCCCUCGGCUCAACCAAGGAAGUGCAUCCAAAACUGCUGAGCUUGAGUACUUAAGAGGAUCGCGGAAUUCCCGGUGUAGAGGUGAAAUUCGUAGAUAUCGGGAGGAACACCAGUGGCGAAGGCGGCGAUCUGGGAAGAUACUGACGCUGAGGUGCGAAAGCGUGGGGAGCAAACAGG